rnacentral:rRNA from 1 species
AUUGAACGCUGGCGGCAUGCCUUACACAUGCAAGUCGAACGGUAACAGGUCUUCGGAUGCUGACGAGUGGCGAACGGGUGAGUAAUACAUCGGAACGUGCCCGAUCGUGGGGGAUAACGAAGCGAAAGCUUUGCUAAUACCGCAUAAGAUCUACGGAUGAAAGCAGGGGACCGCAAGGCCUUGCGCGAACGGAGCGGCCGAUGGCAGAUGAGGUAGUUGGUGGGAUAAAAGCUUACCAAGCCGACGAUCUGUAGCUGGUCUGAGAGGACGACCAGCCUGACUGGGCAUGAGAACCGGCCCAGACUCCUACGGGAGGCAGCAGUGGGGAAUUUUGGACCAUGGGCGAAAGCCUGUUCCAGCCAGGCCGCGUGCAGGAUGAAGGCCUUCGGGUUGUAAGCUGCUUUUGUACGGAACGAAAAGACUCUUUCUAAUAAAGAGGGUCCAUGACGGUACCGUAAGAAUAAGCACCGGCUAACUACGUGCCAGCCGCCGCAGUAAUAC